AAGAACACUAAUCAGUAACAUUUUAAGAGUACAACUUUUUAAAAUACCAAAAUACAACCACUUAAAUAAUUAUUACUGACUUAAUAAAGCAAUGUACGGAAGACCACUUAGUCUAUAGGGUAUGUUCUAUUUACACUUUAGGUAGCAAGCUUUAUAUAUUUUAGGUAACAUUUCUAUAGUAAUUAGUUGUGUUUCUGAGUCUUACAAUCUAUGUAACAUUUUGAAUAGCUCUUAGUAACAAAGGAUAUCUGAGAAAUUAGUAAUUAAGAAAAACGUUUACCAUGUUCAUCAAAUCUUAGCAACUGCUUACUGCUGAUUUCAUUCUGAUGGUUUUUUUUUUCUUGUUACUAUCGUCUAUAUUAGGCAUAAUCCAAGAUUUACUAAAGCUUGAGAUUUGUAACUAAAAUGGGCCCACAGAAAAUGGACUCUGUUCCUCAUAACUUCAACUCAUGGUUUUGUUCUACACUUUGCUAUAGGAGGAGGCAAGUGGGUUCAUGGCAGAGACCUCACUAUAAUGAGUGAUGCAAAUACUAUUUUUGGAAAUGAAAUGUUGACCAAUGUUUCUGGUUUUAGAGGCAAGACUGAGCUGGAAAAGGCAAAGGUAGCUUUUCUAAUGUGUUGAAUCAUAAAAGCACAACAUUGUAUUUUACCGCAUUGAUUUUACUUCAGGCCCACAUCUGGUGCUUAGGACAGACAUGGUGGAACAGUGUUUUCCUGAUCUGUAAAACUGCUUUUGUCUAAAUGUCCUCAAGUUCUCGAUAAUAAUAGAUACACACUGAUUAAACUUCGUCCUUUCUUGAGCAAACAACAUCAACUUUCUCCAAGGAAAUUGCUGCCAUAUUUAGCUAUCUUGUUCUAGAAGGGCUACUGUUGCGUUUACAAUUCUAGCAGUCCUUGAUUUGAUAAGUGUUCUAAAGUUACACUGACACUGCUUGGUCAGCGUAGCUAAUCUAAGACCCUGAUUGUUUUUCUUAGCAUAGGAAGGCUUUCCUGCCACCCCCACCCCCACCCCACACUUGGGAAGUUCAGCACAGGCAGGAAGCUUCCACACUGGCACUACUGAGGUCAGACAGUGACUCGCUUCAGGAGGUUUUGUCAUCGUGUGCCCACACGGAGAGCAAACUGUUGAUGGAGACACUGCAAUUCGGCCUUUUAUUGUCAUCAUUCCUC
rnacentral:lncRNA from 1 species